rnacentral:rRNA from 1 species
AUGUCUGCCUCCUCUGCCUCGCGCUCGUUCGCCGCCGCCAAGUCCCUGCGCCCCUGCCUCAUCCCUGCCUCCAGGUCGCCGCUCUGCCGCCGGAGACCAAGCUGCCGGAGCCCCAAGCCCCUGCGCCUCUCCGCCGCUCGCUCGCUUCCUCUGCUUCGAACGAGACGGCCACGCGCCCUGGUUGACUUGUCCCAGCGCCAGCGUGGACGAGAUCCGCGUCGCCCUUCACCCGCUCAGCCCCGCUUGCCUCCUCGCUGGGCCGCCGAUCCAGCGCCCUUGGCCCAGCUCCGCGCCCUCAGCAAGGCCCACACCAGCGCGCCCCUGCCGGCCUUCCUCUCCACCGCAUGGGCUGAGCCCCUCUGGCGAGGCCCAAUCCACCUCAGAUUUGGCCCACGUGGUUUUUUCUCUUCUGGCGAAUUUGUCUACUAUUCCAGGAACUGCCAGUUUUACAGAUUGGACCCUAAACUUCAUGCAUAUAAAACUCAUGAACCAUGCAUCAUAUUAAAAUGUUUUAUAUAUGUAAAAUGCUUAGUUUAUCAUGUACUUUCAUAA